rnacentral:rRNA from 1 species
AGAGUUUGAUCCUGGCUCAGGGUGAACGCUGGCGGCGUGCCUAAGACAUGCAAGUCGAACGGGUUGGUAACAACACCGUGGCGGACGGGUGAGUAACGCGUGGGUGACGUGCCCUGGAGUUGGGGACAACCAAGCGAAAGUUUGGAUAAUCCCCGAUGGUGAUGCAGCUCCUGUGCUGUAUCUAAAGAUUUAUCGCUCCAGGAUCGGCCCGCGUCCUAUCAGGUAGUUGGUGGGGUAACGGCUCACCAAGCCAACGACAGGUAACUGGUCUGAGAGGACGACCAGUCACAGGAGCACUGAGACACGGGCUCCACUCCUACGGGAGGCAGCAGUUAGGAAUAUUCGUCAAUGGGGGAAACCCUGAACGAGCGACGCCGCUUGAAGGACGAAGCCUUUCGGGGUGUAAACUUCUGAACUCGGGACGAUAAUGACGGUACCGAGCUAAUAGCACCGGCUAACUCCGUGCCAGCAGCCGCGGUAAUACGGAGGGUGCGAGCGUUACCCGGAUUUACUGGGCGUAAAGGGCGUGUAGGCGGUUUGUUAAGUCCGAUGUGAAAGACCGGGGCUCAACCCCGGGAACGCGUUGGAUACUGACAGACUAGACGGCUGGAGGGGGUAGCGGAAUUUCCGGAGUAGCGGUGAAAUGCGCAGAUACCGGAAGGAACGCCAAUAGCGAAGGCAGCUACCUAGACAGCACGUGACGCUGAGGCGCGAAAGCAUGGGGAGCAAACCGGAUUAGAUACCCGGGUAGUCCAUGCCCUAAACGAUGAGUGCUGGGUGUCCGGCGUAUGCUGGGUGCCGAAGCUAACGCGUUAAGCACUCCGCCUGGGAAGUACGGUCGCAAGACUGAAACUCAAAGGAAUUGACGGGGCCCCGCACAAGCGGUGGAGCAUGUGGUUUAAUUCGAAUGAACGCGCAGAACCUUACCAGGCCUUGACAUCUGGGGAAUCCCGCUGAAAGGUGGGAGUGUCCGCAAGGAAGCCCCAAGACAGGUGCUGCAUGGCUGUCGUCAGCUCGUGUCGUGAGAUGUUAGGUUAAGUCCCGCAACGAGCGCAACCCCUGUAGUUAGUUGCCAGCAGUUCGGCUGGGCACUCUAGCUAGACUGCCUGCGAAAGCAGGAGGAAGGCGGGGAUGACGUCUAGUCCGCAUGGCCCUUACGGCCUGGGCUACACACGUGCUACAAUGGUUGCUACAGAGCGCUGCAACACGGCGACGUGAAGCCAAUCGCUUAAAAGCAACCUCAGUUCGGAUUGGAGUCUGCAACUCGACUCCAUGAAGCCGGAAUCGCUAGUAAUCGCGAAUCAGCUACGUCGCGGUGAAUACGUUCCCGGGGCUUGUACACACCGCCCGUCAAGCCAUGGGAGUAGGUUUCACCUGAAGUCACUGGGAGCUUAAGGCAGGUGCCGAGGGUGGGGCUUAUGACUGGGGCUAAGUCGUAACAAGGUA